UAUGGCCAUACCACCCUGAACGCACCCAGCCUCGUCUGAUCUCGGAAGCUAAGCAGGGUCGGGCCUGGUUAGUACUUGGAUGGGAGAUUUAUUAUUUAUUGCAGGUGAGGAGCUAUGU
rnacentral:rRNA from 1 species